AGUGGGAUAACUGGGUAAAAUGGUAGAUCCAUUCCAGUAUUUCUGAGGAAUCUCCGUACUGCUUUCCAGAAUGGUUGUACCAAUUUGCAGUCCCACUAGCAGU
rnacentral:pre_miRNA from 1 species